rnacentral:rRNA from 1 species
AUACGGAGGAUCCGAGCGUUAUCCGGAUUUAUUGGGUUUAAAGGGUGCGCAGGCGGCCGUUUAAGUCAGCGGUUAAAUCGUGGGGCUCAACCCCAUUCUGCCGUUGAUACUGGGUGGCUUGAUUGCGGUCGAGGUUGGCGGAAUUCGUUGUGUAGCGGUGAAAUGCAUAGAUAUGACGAAGAACACCGAUUGCGUAGGCAGCAGACCAGACCGCAAAUGACGCUCAUGCACGAAAGUGCGGGGAUCGAACAGGAUUAGAUACCCUGGUAGUCCGCACAGUAAACGAUGAAUACUUGUUUUCGGCGAUAUAAUGUCGGAGGCAAAGCGAAAGCGAUAAGUAUUCCACCUGGGGAGUACGCCGGCAACGGUGAAACUCAAAUGAAUUGACGGGG